rnacentral:rRNA from 1 species
UGGGGAAUUUUGGACAAUGGGCGAAAGCCUGAUCCAGCAAUGCCGCGUGUGUGAAGAAGGCCUUCGGGUUGUAAAGCACUUUUGUCCGGAAAGAAAUCCUUGGCUCUAAUACAGUCGGGGGAUGACGGUACCGGAAGAAUAAGCACCGGCUAACUACGUGCCAGCAGCCGCGGUAAUACGUAGGGUGCAAGCGUUAAUCGGAAUUACUGGGCGUAAAGCGUGCGCAGGCGGUUUGCUAAGACCGAUGUGAAAUCCCCGGGCUCAACCUGGGAACUGCAUUGGUGACUGGCAGGCUAGAGUAUGGCAGAGGGGGGUAGAAUUCCACGUGUAGCAGUGAAAUGCGUAGAGAUGUGGAGGAAUACCGAUGGCGAAGGCAGCCCCUGGGCCAAUACUGACGCUCAUGCACGAAAGCGUGGGGAGCAAACAGGAUUAGAUACCCUGGUAGUCCACGCCCUAAACGAUGUCAACUAGUUGUUGGGGAUUCAUUUCCUUAGUAACGUAGCUAACGCGUGAAGUUGACCGCCUGGGGAGUACGGUCGCAAGAUUAAAACUCAAAGGAAUUGACGGGGU